UAAUUACUCCCUCCGUUCGGAAUUACUUGUCUUGGAAAUGGAUGUAUCUAGAACUAAAAUACAUCUAGAUACAUCCAUUUCUGCGACAAGUAAUUCCGAACGGAGGGAGUACUUA
rnacentral:pre_miRNA from 1 species